rnacentral:rRNA from 1 species
GAUGAACGCUGGCGGCGUGCCUAAUACAUGCAAGUCGAGCGAAGAGGGGAGGGGGGAGUAACACGUGGGGAACCUCCUUUAAGAAGGGGGUAACUUCGGGAAACCGGAGCCAAAACGGAUACUUAGAGAUGGAUGUGCGAUGCAUUAGCUAGGUGGUAGGGUAACGGCUUACCAAGGCAACAAUUCAUAGCCGACCUGAGAGGGUGAUCGGCCACACUGGAACUGAGACACGGUCCAGACUCCUACGGGAGGCAGCAGUAGGGAAUCUUGCGCAAUGGGCGAAAGCCUGACGGAGCAACGCCGCGUGAGUGAUGAAGGUCUUCGGAUCGUAAAACUCUGUUAUCAGGGAGGCGGUACCUAAUCAGAAAGCCACGGCUAACUACGUGCCAGCAGCCGCGGUAAUAC